AGUGAACGCUGGCGGUAGGCCUAACACAUGCAAGUCGAACGGCAGCACAGUAAGAGCCUGCUCUUACGGGUGGCGAGUGGCGGACGGGUGAGGAAUACAUCGGAAUCUACUUUUUCGUGGGGGAUAACGUAGGGAAACUUACGCUAAUACCGCAUACGACCUACGGGUGAAAGCAGGGGAUCUUCGGACCUUGCGCGAUUGAAUGAGCCGAUGUCGGAUUAGCUAGUUGGCGGGGUAAAGGCCCACCAAGGCGACGAUCCGUAGCUGGUCUGAGAGGAUGAUCAGCCACACUGGAACUGAGACACGGUCCAGACUCCUACGGGAGGCAGCAGUGGGGAAUAUUGGACAAUGGGCGCAAGCCUGAUCCAGCCAUACCGCGUGGGUGAGGAAGGCCUUCGGGUUGUAAAGCCCUUUUGUUGGGAAAGAAAAGCAGCAGGUUAAUACCCCGCUGUUCUGACGGUACCCAAAGAAUAAGCACCGGCUAACUUCGUG
rnacentral:rRNA from 1 species